rnacentral:lncRNA from 1 species
UUCACCAACUGAGCCACCCCAGCAUCUCAAAGCCUCCUACUCUUGAUUUCAGCUCAGGUCAUGAUCUUAGGGUUGUGAGAUCAAGGCUUGCCUCCUGAUCCGUGCUGGGCAUGAAGCCUGCUUAAGAUUCUCGCUUUCCCUUUCCUUCUGCCCCUACCCUCUAAAACAUAAAGAAAAUUAGAAGAAGAAGAAGAAGGAGGAGGAGGAGGAGGAGGAGGAGAAAGAAGAAAAGAAAAGAGGAGAGGAGAGGAGAGAAGAGAAAAGAAAAGAAAAGAAAAGAAAAGAAAAGAAAAAAGAAAAGAAAAGAAAAGAAAAGAAAAGAAAAGAAAAGAAAAGAAAAGAAAAGAAAUCCAAGGCAGAAGGAGGAUCUAGAAGAAUGGGAGCUAUUGGCCUCUGGUACAUUAUCAAGCUGUCGGAUUGUGAACAUGAAUAAUAAACAUCUUGGAUUUUUAUUGGAUAAUUUAAAAAUAUAUAAGUACUUGAAUACUGUCUCUUUAUCUAGGCUGUUUCUUGAGAAUACUUAUCUCAUUGUUGGUGAUUCAUGUUUAUUAUUAACUAAGUAAUAAAAAAUUAAAAGCAUUUUAUAAUAAUGAAUAAAUUAUUCUUAAUGAAUGUACA